rnacentral:rRNA from 1 species
UCCACGCCGUAAACUAUGAUUACUCGUUGCGUGCGAUAUACAGUACGUGACUGAGCGAAAGCAUUAAGUAAUCCACCUGGGGAGUACGUUCGCAAGAAUGAAACUCAAAGGAAUUGACGGGGGCCCGCACAAGCGGAGGAACAUGUGGUUUAAUUCGAUGAUACGCGAGGAACCUUACCCGGGCUUAAAUGCAGGACGACCGGCUGAGAAAUCAGCCUUUCUUCGGACGGCUU